rnacentral:lncRNA from 1 species
UUACAUGUUUAUGUAACAAAUUCAAAAGCACCUGGGUUGGAGGAGGGAAAAUGUUCUUUUCUGGCUUACUUGUGGUUUGUAUGGUGGACGCUCUCAAUUUCACCUUUCCUAGAUAAACAGAAACUCAGCUUCACAGUGGGGAUUUUAUUCUGGUACAGUAUCUCAGUCAUCAGGGAAUGAAAAUGAGCUAUUCCUUAGGUGGCUACAGUAUUUUAUAGCUAUCCUGGUUUUGUGGUUUGUUUUGGUCAUGUAGAAAACUGGGAUUCUUCAUCUUUUGUUACAUUUUAAAACUAACUUUUGUUUUAUGAGCAUGGGUGUUUUGCUUAUUGCAUGCCUGUGAGCUGUGUCUAUGCAGUUCCUGCCGAGUCAGAGGUUGUCAGAACCCGGGGGGGGGGGGGGCUGGAGUUACAGGAGCUGAGAACUGAACCCAUCUGGAUGAGCCGCAGCCAGUGCUCUGAAUCACUGAGCCAUCUCUCUAGCACCCUUUAUUAAUUACAUUUUCAGAAAUUAGUUUCUUAAUAUUAAAUUAUUUUACUAUUUAUAUUACUACAAAUUAACUGUGUCCAUGAAGGAACCUGGCCUGUAAUUUUCCAUUUUUCUCCCUCCCUUUGAUUUGAAGGAUUGAACCAACAACGCUGUACCUGAUACACAAGCACCCCAGUUCUGAGCUGCAUCUCCAGCCUGUAACUUUAUAUUGACUUUUAUUUGUUAGGCUUUGUUUUCUUUUUCUUUUUCUUUUCCUUUUCCUUUUUUCCCCCCUCCCUUUCUCCCUCUUGCUCUGGCCCUCUCACUCCAGGCCCCACUCACUCCCCCUGUGCCCCUUCCGGCCCAUAGGUUUUUUAAAAAUGUUUUUGUUGUUGUUACUGUUUGUUUGUUUCUCAUUAUGGAUGGUUGUGAGCCACCAUGUGGUUGCUGGGAUUUGAACUCCUGACCCCCAGAAAAGCAGUCAGUGCUCUUAACUGCUGAACCAUCUCACCAGCCCUAGGCUUUGUUUUUAGUAUUAUUCUGUUCUCAAAUAUAUAAACCACAGCUAUUCAUUGCCGUGACUAAAUACAAGAAGUUAAAACACACACAAGCAAGAAAGACCAAAAAACAGUCUUUAAGGGGAAGAGUCCUCUUGGCUCCCAGUUUCAUGUGGGUCAGUCUGUAGUGGGUUGGCCCCAUUGUUUCCCGGUGGUGAUGAGGCAGACCAUCAUGGCAGAAGGACAAGGAGCAAAGCCGCUCAGCCCAUGGUGUCUGGGAAACAGACUGGAACCUGUCCAGGUAUGUCUUCCAGUUAGGACCCACGGCUCCCUUCCACCACCUCUGAAUACUGCCACAGUCCUAAUGCUCUCUAAGGAUGACUCCACUGAUGAAGUCAGAGCCCCAGCGAUCCAGAUCCAGCCACUUCCCCUAAGCCCCACCCCUGACCCCAGCUGCACAGAGAGCCAAGCUUUCUGUAUAGGUGCCUGCUAGGGACAAAUCUGUACAGGCUCUUCUCUGAGUUACCUAGUCAUCUACUUAAGAUGGAGCUAUUAACCCUUUUAACUUUCACAGAGGGUGAGAUGUUCUAGUUACAUUUUGGAAUAGUUCUAAGUUUCUACAUGACAGACAUGGCACGUCUGUUAAUCGUUGGAAGAACCUUGUCAUGUAUUGCCUGUUGCCUUUCAGCGUCCUGAUUAAAGAUGAGCUGUCUGCCACACAGUAUGAAUAGCAUAUUAUUAUUAUUAUUUGCUAUCUUAGAUAAAACACUAUGUCUUUUUAGGUUUGUUUGUUUGUUUGUUCUGGUGUGUAGACUACUUAUUCUAGUUGUAUAGCGUUGAAAAUUUUAAAAUUCAGUAUAUUGUUACAUGGAAUUAAUUGGAAGACCUGAUACAAGCCAGUAAAACCAUUAUUGUAAUGACAUUGCCUUUAAAAUGUAAUUUCCAAGUGGUUGUGGUGGCACAGGUAUUUUGGCAGCAGGAAGAUCGUGGAUUCAAGGCCAACCUGGACUGUAUAACAAGACUCUGUCUCUAACUAAAUAAACAAACAAAUAUAAGC